AUAAUGAACAUUUUCAUGCUUCCCGGUGAUAUGUCGAGGAGCCAAGGUAUCAAUGAACUUCUCUCAGACAUCUAGACAUCUUGACAAGUUUUUCGUUUUAAUUCGUUUGUUUUGCACGAGGUCUAAUAAGAAAUCUAAUGCAACGCUGUGAAAGAAUCAUCUGAUCGAAAUUCUUAUUUUCGAUAUUCAUUUUUGAUGUCGUACGUAACCAAGUAUUUGUACAUGUUUCCUUUAUUUCAAACUUGAAAAAAAAAAUCACUAUUGUUUUGAUAUCAAAGUUUUCUACGCAAUCUUGUCGAAAAAUCAAUGAAAAUUUUUCAUUCUGAGGAAGAAUCAAAGUGUUUUUAUGGCUUGGCAGUUGUAAAUAGGUUGUUGCGAGUCACAAUGAUGUCCUCAAUAAUUAUUUUAUAAAAAAUUACCAUAAAUAUUUUGGAUCAUCACAUCACUAGGCUUUUCUUUGUUGAAAUUGUAAUUUCAAAGUGAACUUUAUCGUUCAGAUAUAGAUAGUGAAAUGUGAAAUUGUGAAAAAAAAAUUGAGCAACCUUAUGAAAACUUUAUUGAUUUAAAGGAUGUGGAAAUUAUCUAGACGAGAGUACACAGAUAUAGUUAUGAGUUUAUGAGAUUUGAUGAACGCAGCAUUUUCAUAGGAAGUUAACAUCAAACUACACAUUUUGAUUUAAUUAAUCCAAUAAGUUGAUAUUCUAAUCAUGAUUGAAUGAUCAUGGUAAGAUUUCCAAUGGUUUUCUUAUUUUAUGCCACGAACAUAAUGUUUAACACGAGAGGAGAACAAAAAAUUUCUAGUAUUUUAGGUUAGAAAGGUUAAGGUAGGCUUUCCUGUUUGCAUUCAACACCGUAGCCUCCGGCGAAAAUAGGUCUGUAUUGUGUUGAGAUUGUUCAGUAAUAUACCAAGGGUGACCCAAGCAUGUGCUUUCUUUGUAUCUAGGAUUUUAUGUGGAGGAAGUAAGUUUGUACCAUGAAAAUAUUUAUUUUUUUUAUAUUGAGAAUUUGAACGAUUGAAAAGGAAAUUAUUGUGAAAUAAAUAAAUGAGAAAAAUCUUACGCUUUAUCAGGAACACGCCGACUUCGUUCUUUUAUUUUAGAUUUGGGUUUUGUUCAACUUUUGAUUUACUUAUAUCAGUAAGACAUAGUAUUACCUAUUCAAACAGAAAAGAAUCGUUUUUAUUUAUUUUCGACGGGUUAUUAUAAGUUAAACUCAUAUUUUGUUAUAGAAAUUAUUAAGGGUGGCGGUGCAGUGUUUUUUCUAUAGAGAAAUCCACUUAAAAAUAGAAUAUGGGAAAAAUAGCUGAACAAAUGUUGUGAAAUAGAAAUAUGUAGUAGUUUCUAAUUUCAAUACUUUCUAGUAACCUUAAUUAGGAUAUAAUUAUUUUGUAAAUAACAUAUUUAUAAUUCAUAAGUGAUAAAUUGCGCCAUCUAGUGUAAAAGUACGAACUAAACGUUUUAUUUGAUUUUCAGUAACAUGAGUUACCCACUAGAGUGAAAACAACGAAAUAUUUUAAAUCACUCUUUUUUUGGUCCGAUUUUGUAAUAAGAUUUUUUUAUUAUUUAUUAGACAUAUGGUUUCCGAGAUAGAACCGCUAGCCACCCUUAAUGAAUUACCCCGUUCUUGUUUUAUUAUUGAAGCAACAUACAUGAGUUAUGUUCCGUUCCAUCUUAUUUUAAUUUUACACAUGAAGUUAUGAUCUUACUAUGUACAUGGUACAUGAUUGUAACAUCUUGGCUUUGAAUUACUCUGUGCUGUUUCUUACUAGGGCGUUUAGAACUAAUUAUCAUACAAUUUCUAAAUUGACGUCCACUACGAUGUAAAUGUAGAUCCUCUACAUUAUACAGAGCCUUUAAAUGAUUGUAACAUAGCUGUGGGCGUCAAAUCUGAAAUUCUGUGAUAUUUAUUUCAAAACUUUAGAAAGAAGCAGCACAAAGCCAAGGCGGCCUAUCCAUAUAAUUCAAAAUAUGCUAGUAAUAAAAAUAUUACCUAGUAGUUACUCACCAUUUCGUGAUAUAUCUUAGGACUAGUUAUAUGAACUUACAUAUAUAAAAUUGAACUUCUUGAUUCGUUUCAUUCUUAUGAAACGAAUAAGUUACACAAAGAAAAGGAUGGAUAUUGAAUGCACAAAAAUAUUUACAAUCAUUGCAUAAUAUAUUUGUCUUCUGAUUCAUAUGUACAGUAUUUCUAUUUGUAUACAGUUUACAAAAGUAUAGCUGAGUUAAUAAGUAUCUGAUUUGUAGAUUAGUUUGUAUUAUGUUUUAUCUUUUAUGUGAUAUAUUUAACACAAAUGGACUUUUAAACCUACUACAGUUACAUGACGAUGACAAUUGUUGUAGAAAAAUAAAUCUAUGGAAAUUUU